CCCUCCACGCAUUAUUACUCACGGUACGAGUUUGAAGUGGCACAGCGCGUACCAAAAGUAAUAAUGAGC
ensembl:miRNA